rnacentral:misc_RNA from 1 species
AAGUCGUAACAAGGUAACCGUAGGUGAACCUGCGGUUGGAUCAUUAUAAAAUAAUGAUGGCUUCCUUAGUGAGUGUUGGACCUUUCGGACUGACCUCUACCUAGGAAGUCUCUAUACCUCUGUGCACUGUAAUAGUAUCGGGUCGAGGUAACGCAGCUUCGGCCCACAAACGGUCUCGACCGUAUAAACAACUUUUAAUUUUGACUGACUUUUGUUUCUAACGAAUCAAAAACAACUUUUAACAACGGAUCUCUUGGCUCAC